rnacentral:lncRNA from 1 species
GUGCGGACCCGGCAGGGCCCGGGCGCCGCCGCCGCGGCAGGGAGCACACACGCGCUCGCGCAAGCAGCUAAAUCCAUCAAAGCCCCGCGCCCGGCUCCGCGCCGGGGCUCCGCGCCCCUCCCUCGAGCUUGCCCACCCUCCAGUGCCAGCUGCAAUCCUGCGGCACCGGGUGGGGAGGGAGGAGGCCGCCGCAGAAGCGCCGCCGUCGCCGGCUCGCCUCUCUCGGGCCCCAGCGGCGGCAGCGGGCAGCGCCCAGAGCUGCUGCGCCAAAAAGGGCCAGAGAGCCGGUCCCCGCCCCCGCCCCGGCGCUCCGGCCGCUCUCCACGGUUCGGAUCCAGGGCCCCAGCCUUCCUCUCUCCAUAAAAGGAGGGGGAGUCAGUCUUUGGGGAAGGAGGGGGGCGGGUUUGGGGCACUCACCUGGCGGCUGCCACGCGCCCCCGCCCAGGAUCCGAGGCCUGGGGCAUCUGAAUGAGGACCCUCCACCCACAUUUCCACUUGGGAGCGAGCUCCAGUCGGGGAAAGGGCCUGCAGCCCGCCUCGUCCCCACCCUGGGACCCCGCGCCCCCCAGUCCCCCACUCCCGCGCCGAAGGCAGGGCCGCGCCCUGAGCCGGGAAGUCGAGGGGAUGGAAGGGAAAGGAGCCACCGGUGAGGGUCCCCCGGGUUCUGAGCCUCCCGCGUCGGGAUCCGUGGGGCGCACAGAGCGCCACCUCCGGCCGAGGCGCAGCUCAGAGCGCGAUGCGGGGGAGGAACGCGCGCGGAGGCCGAGGUCUGAGCGUGGCUAGACGGCUCCCACGCCGAGAAAGGGCGGGUGCGCCUGGGCUGGAUGGAUUUCGCCUCCCUAGACCAGGAGGGAUUGGACCCUGACUACAGGUCCAGGUGCUCGUCAGUGCCCUGCCAGGGGGUCUACGCGUCCUGGUACCGGGUCCAGCGGGGUGGCGUGCUGUGCAGACCCCGAGGCUAGACGGCCUAGGCCCCUGGAGCCCAGGAGACGCUUCCUUGGGGGGAACUUGCGGCUUGGGAGGGGACACCCACUGCAUGGCUUCUGGAAAGAGCCGGACUCGCAGGGCCAGGACGCAGGCCGGACCCCGGCCUCAUUCUUCGGCCAGUUAUCCCGGAGUGGCGCGCAUCCUGUCUUCCUGGGCCUCGGACUGCUCGCGCGCAGAGGGGGCCCGAGGACACCUCUGUGGGGUUAGAGGACUCGGUAAGACGGUGUGGAAGGCAAGGAGGAAGGUCGCGUUGUAUUGGGGAUGGGGUACCCGUCCCUCCCAGCUUGAGGGAUCCUGGGGGUCCUCGCCGCCUCUGAGGGCCUAGAUGGCUGCUUCCCUCGGCUCCCCUGCCCGGCCUGGAGCUACGGGUGCGCCCAGCUAGAGUUUAGGGCCACCUGGGGACGUGCAAGGGGCGCUGGAGCGAGGCGGGGGCUGGGGCGGGGCGUGGGUGCUUCACCCGCGGGGGACGCAGAGCUUAGGCGAAAGCGGUGCAGGCAUCUCUCUAAUCGCCGGCCGCUAUUAAAAAUAAAACCGCGACCCGUCGCCAUGGCGACCACAACAACAGCGGCCGCGCGAGGGAGGCGAAAACUUGUGCAGCCGCGCGACAGCCGCCUUCUGGGGAGACUCGGGGCACGACGCACCCGGCGUGGGACUGGGACCCCCCUGCCCGGCCCCGCCACAUUCUCCGCCGGAUCCCCGGAAGACACAAGGAGACGUGGACCCCCACAGGCUUUUUUGGGGGGAUUGGGCGUUGAAACCGCAGGGCUGACUUAACCAAGAGGUCACCGACUUGGAUAAAAAACCCACGCCCGCGCGGACCCCCCUCCCCGGCCUUCGUUUCCAUUCAAACUCCCAGCGUCCUCAUUGCAGCCCCUGGGGAGGGGGACGGAGGGACGAGGUGGGUUUCAGGUGCUCGGCCCAGGAGGGGACGGUGCGACCCGGGCCCCGCCGGCGGGUUUUGCGCGCGGAGGCUGCGGCACCUGCCCCGCCCGCCCUGCCGCGAUCCUUGCAGACGGGGGCGGUCACAUGCUUCUUUCUGGCCAGGAAUCGAGUUUCACUUCCAGCCGCUAUUAGUCGGUUCACACAGUUCACUGCAAACAUUUGAUAAUGAGGCUAAAUAUACUCCCGCGUCGGAGGAGGCGUGGGCGUCCCCGCCCAGGCCCGGGAGACAGAGGCGCUGACCCCGGGACAGAGCCUGGCUUUGUGCGGGAGGCAGACGCGCCCCGCGCGCCGCCCCCGAAACAUUCGCACCCCAUGCUGAGGCGCGCGUCUGGGAGUCCGUGGGCGCCCCGAGGGGCAGUGGAAGCCGUUGGAGGGCCUCAGGCAGGAACACAAGGUGUCGUGGCAGAAAGGAAGAAGGGGCCGGGCACGGUGGCCCACACCCGUCAUCCCAGCACUUUGGGAGGGAGGCCAAGGCAGGAGGAUCGCUUCAAUCCAGGAGUUCAAGAUCAGCCUGGGCAACACAGCAAGACCCCGUCUCUACUAAAACCCUAAAACUUAGCCAGGCUUGGUGGCAUGUGCCUAAGGUCCCAGGUCCUCGGGAGACUAAGGCAGGAGGAUUGCUUAAGCCCAAGAGUUUGAGGCUGCAGUGAACUAUUAUCACACCACUGCACUCAGCCUGGGUGACAGAGUGACUCUGUCUCAAAACUAAAUAAAUAAACAAUAAUUGUGUUAUUCUGUCUCCAUUUCUCGCAUACUGAAUUUAAGGUGGACUCAGCCAGCGGGUUCAG